AGUGAACGCUGGCGGUAGGCCUAACACAUGCAAGUCGAACGGCAGCACAGUAAGAGCUUGCUCUUACGGGUGGCGAGUGGCGGACGGGUGAGGAAUACAUCGGAAUCUACUUUUUCGUGGGGGAUAACGUAGGGAAACUUACGCUAAUACCGCAUACGACCUACGGGUGAAAGCAGGGGAUCUUCGGACCUUGCGCGAUUGAAUGCGCCGAUGUCGGAUUAGCUAGUUGGCGGGGUAAAGGCCCACCAAGGCGACGAUCCGUAGCUGGUCUGAGAGGAUGAUCAGCCACACGGGAACUGAGACACGGUCCAGACUCCUACGGGAGGCAGCAGUGGGGAAUAUGGGACAAUGGGCGCAAGCCUGAUCCAGCCAUACCGCGUGGGUGAAGAAGGCCUUCGGGUUGUAAAGCCCUUUUGUUGGGAAAGAAAAGCAGCAGGUUAAUACCCCGCUGUUCUGACGGUACCCAAAGAAUAAGCACCGGCUAACUUCGUG
rnacentral:rRNA from 1 species